AAUACAUGCAAGUCGUACGCUAGCCGCUGAAUUGAUCCUUCGGGUGAAGUGAGGCAAUGACUAGAGUGGCGAACUGGUGAGUAACACGUAAGAAACCUGCCCUUUAGUGGGGGAUAACAUUUGGAAACAGAUGCUAAUACCGCGUAACAACAAAUCACACAUGUGAUCUGUUUGAAAGGUCCUUUUGGAUCGCUAGAGGAUGGUCUUGCGGCGUAUUAGCUUGUUGGUAGGGUAGAAGCCUACCAAGGCAAUGAUGCGUAGCCGAGUUGAGAGACUGGCCGGCCACAUUGGGACUGAGACACUGCCCAAACUCCUACGGGAGGCUGCAGUAGGGAAUUUUCCGCAAUGCACGAAAGUGUGACGGAGCGACGCCGCGUGUGUGAUGAAGGCUUUCGGGUCGUAAAGCACUGUUGUAAGGGAAGAAUAACUGAAUUCAGAGAAAGUUUUCAGCUUGACGGUACCUUACCAGAAAGGGAUGGCUAAAUACGUGCCAGCAGCCGCGGUAAUACGUAUGUCCCGAGCGUUAUCCGGAUUUAUUGGGCGUAAAGCGAGCGCAGACGGUUUAUUAAGUCUGAUGUGAAAUCCCGAGGCCCAACCUCGGAACUGC
rnacentral:rRNA from 1 species